GAACGCGAAAGAGGGCUUCGGCCCUUGAGUAGAGUGGCAAACGGGUGAGUAACACGUGGGUAAUUUACCUCUGGAUGGGGAAUAACCCGGGGAAACCUGGGCUAAUACCGCAUAACGCAGGGUGACCGCAUGGUUACCUUGCUAAAGCGGGGGAUCGUAAGACCUCGCGUCUAGAGAGAAGCCCGCGUCCGAUUAGCUAGUUGGUGGGGUAAUGGCCUACCAAGGCGAUGAUCGGUAGCCGGUCUGAGAGGAUGAUCGGCCACACUGGCACUGAGACACGGGCCCGACUCCUACGGGAGGCAGCAGUGGGGAAUAUUGGACAAUGGGCGAAAGCCUGAUCCAGCAAUGCCG
rnacentral:rRNA from 1 species